rnacentral:tRNA from 1 species
GUAGCUCAGUGGUAGAGCACUUGCUUAUCAUGCAUGAGGUCCUGGGUGCUAUCUCCAGC